GAGACGGAGGGGCGGUGCCGAGGGGAGAGGCGGCGCAGAGGGAAGGAGCGGGGCGAGGAGAAGGGGCGGGGCGAGUACUGCUCCAAGAUAUGGCAACCGUGACAGCUUUGCGAGUAGCUCCAGGUCCCCUGCUGCUCCGUGAGAAAUCAAACUUCUGGCAAUGACGAAGCAUGAAGCCAGCAUCUCAGGGAGAGGUGAGAAAACUGACACUUGGAGAGGUAGAGUAGCUUUAUUUACUUCACACAAGCUUUUGAUGAAUUUCAAGUCUCAACCUAGAAGUCUUCCUCUAAGGGAAAUUAAUGUUAUGACUGGAUAAGACAAUUGUGAAGAAACUGCACUUCGAGGUUGUCUGUCUCCGUAUUCCGAUGGAAAAGGCUGGACUUUAGAAGCAUUGCUCGCUCCUUCAGUUUCUAACAAGCCAGUUCUUGGAGAUACUAGGAAGCCAAGAGUUUCCUCCAGGAAUGGAGAUUCCUUGGAAGUGAGGUUCACCUUGAGUCAAGAAAGACGAAUCACACACGGUCAAAGGCAAUUGCCCAGGGUCUCAAGAACAGAGCCAGAAAGAAGAGCUGGGGCCGGCGGGAUUGUGGGGGUCCUCUCUCCCACCUGAAAAGCUACAGCUGCCUGCCGAUCCUCUCAAGAGGAGACCUCUCUGGGCUCCAGCACCUAAAACAGACAAACCUGGGAGGAUGCUUCUCUCUUCUGUGUCACACGUGUCCUGGAGAAAACCCAUGUAUCUGAAUGACCAAAGAAAAGUAUGAGAAAAAGUGCAAAAUCUGUGCCAGGCCAUUCAGUGUCUGGCUGGGGCUCUGGGGUGCACAUGCAUUCCAAGAAGACUGAAGGGUGCCAAGCCUGCAGGAAAUGUCCAUCAGACCUGCCUCUCACACCUGGAGUAGGACUGCCCGUCCAGCUUCAUGAUGCAGAACUGUCUUUAAAAGGCGACUGCAGAUAUGGAGAGAGGGAAUUCUAACCCUGAUAGAACAUGACCAGCUGUCCUGCUGGGGAAAGCUGCAUCCACCAGUGACACGCUGCUCAAACUGGCCCAGGACACACUCUUACUACCUAAGGAAUAAGCCCCACAUUUGCUCUUUGUGGGUAAAAGGAGAGGGUGAGAGAGGAGGGGAGUGUCCGCACAGACAUGAGAAGCCUGCAGAUCCAGAUGACCCCUUGCUGAUCAGAAUAUGAAAGAUCGAUAUGCGGAAACAAUGACCCCGUAGCAGAUGAGCUUCUAGAGCAGGCUUCAACCAUGGGUCAUCUGGACCCACUGGUGGAGAAGUCUGCCCCCACUCUAUGUUGAUGGUCUGGGGGAUACCGUUACUGAGACAGAUUUAAUAAAUAAUCUCUACCUGUUGGCGAGAUCUGGAUGGUCACUUGUGCGAGACAGCAGUGUGCUCUCAUCAGCUUUCCACAGGGCAGGCUGCGGAAAUGGUGCUGAGAAGUCCUUUUGUAAAUUGAUUGUCCAUGGCUGCAGACUUACCAUCAAAUGGAAGAAGAUUCCAAGCUCUCAAAGAAAAGGAAAAAUAGAAGGAUGGAACCACAGACUCUGGGAUCCUGCCAGAGCCUAUUUCAGUGCUGCCAGGAGCUCCUCCUCCCCCUGCAGCUCUGGUCCCCACCUUGGAGCCUCCUUCCAAGGAGUGAGACUACCUUUCUGACUUUUUCUGACCAUAGACACCUUUUCUGACUUUUUCUGUCCUUGGCACCUGCUGAGGACAGCAGACCCAGGGACCCGGGCUCCUGGGCCCAUUCUUGCCCAGCUUCUUCUUGAUCCUGUGACUUGAAGGCAUUCUUGUGCAGUGGAAGCAGGGCCCCAGGACCAUCUGAUAGAUCAAUGGUCUCUGGCCUGUGCCCCACUGAUGGUCGGAUGGUGGCCACUCAGGGUGUGAGAGCCCAGCCAUCGCUGCUUCCUUGAGUUGAAGAGGUUGGAGGCUGGUCCACCUGCUCCUAUCCCACCCUCGGCGAUGUGGAUGGUUGCUCUUUGAGCCUGCAGCCUCUGAGUCCAGCUUCCGCAUUGACACUGAUUUCACCGGGCGCAGGAGCUGCCUGGGGUUGUCUGGGUGCUGUCUUGGCUCCUUUAAGGCUGUGCUGCUCAGUGGCCCCUGAGAAAGAUAAGAAGUGAUGGAGUGAGCUGAGCUGCCAGGAUUCCUGGAGUGAUUCUUGGAUGCUGGGUCAUGUGCUUAGGGGCCCCGAUGUGACUGAACUGGAAGGAGCCAGAAUAGGAGAGAACCCAGCCCCUGAUGAGUGGACACUUGUGGCCUGGCCUCAUGACCACAGGACACACUGUUCCCAGGGCACAGACACACUAGGCUUUGGUUGGAUCUUGGCCUCCAAGUAGGGCCCUGGUGGGCAGCGGGCCGCGAUUCCUGAGACACUACUGUGAUUCUCGGUGGUGGCUGUGGUAAAACACCUGCAGGGCUGGAGUUUAGUGUGAGAUUCAGCAGGAACUGUGGCCUCUCCCAGUGACAAUGUGUCACUCCCACUCACCAGCACCCAUGCCCACAGGCCACGGCCUCUGCCUCACCAAACCCCCACCAAGUCACUCAUCUAUGGAGCAGCUCCCAUGCAGCAGGGUCAGGUUCUUACCUCCACCUCCAGGGCACAGACAGGGGCAGCUCUGUCUCAAUGUAAGGCCAUGAGGAGACCUGAGGACGUGGACCAGGCUGGGGGCCAUCCCCUUACCUGAGCAGGCCUCAGGGAAGGACCAGCCCCAUCCUCAUCAGACCCAGGUCUCAGCCCAGGAGCCCACAUAGGGAAGAAAGAACAGACAGGGCCUCCAUGCUGGCUGACACUCAGGAGGGGCCGGGGCAAUGGAGCAGAGGGAGCACAGGGCCAGGCAGAGGCUGCUCAGGAUCCAUGGGGGCUCAGGCUGCACAAUGGGGCUGCCCCUCCUGGGCUGCAGGCAGCAUCCCCUAUGGGAGCUGAGAAAGUCCAGUCCUGAGAUGGGACACGGCUGCCCAGAGGUGUGUGGCUGGGCCCUGACAGCAGUCUCCCAAAAUGUGACUAUAUUGCCAGGCUCAGUUCCAGGAAUGCUGAGAAGUGCCCAAUACAGCGAGGAUGCACCUGGAGCCCAUCCUGUCUAAUGGACUCUGAUCAUCCCGCAUCCGCUUGCCUCUCCUGCAUAUCGGCCACCACCCCUUCUCUUUUCCUCAUUUCUCCAUCGUGUCUGACCCAGAGGCUGUGACCCUCUCUCCAGCCCCAGUGGCCCUUCUUUUCCCUUGUCCUGUCAGAGGCCCUGAGCAAGACUCCCCAGAUCCAGCCACAUGCCUGGCUGGUCCACUUACUAAUUGUGUUGCUCUGCACUGCUGGGGUGGCGCCAGAGGCAAUGAGGGUGACUGAGGGCCCCACAGGUGUCCAGCUUUGCCAUUUACCCCACCCCUAGCCUCAGGGGGUUCUCAUGGCUGUCAGCCAGCAGCCCUGGCUUGGGGCACCUGGCUGUCCUCCUCCCACUGUUGUGACUCAGCCUCACCCACCUGUCCUCUGUCCAUGGUGCUGACCAAGCCAGCAGGUAGCAGGUCCCCAGAGGGUACAGCUGGGCUUUGGGGACCCACAGAGGCUCCUCUGCUGAGAGGUCCCAGGUGAGUCACUGCCCCUGGUUCUACAUCAUCUGUUGUCCUCUUCAGCAUCAUCCACCCCACCCCAGGCCGGCUCCAUGCAGAUGCAUCCCCGAGUCACCAGUCUCAGGGCCCUCUGUUGUAGGAUGGAGAUUACUGUACCUUCUGUACACAUUCAUAUUUAUUGUGUGAAAUAAAGUAUAGAAGCUAAAGUAAAUGAGGACUUUGGUUUGCAUUUUCCUGAUGAUCACUGAUGUUGAGCACUUGUUAGCCAUUUUUAUAUCUUUUUUAAGAGACAAAUAUCUAUUCAGGUUCUUUGCUUGUUUUUAAAUCAGGUUAUUAGAUUUUGGUGAGUUUUCUCUCUUCUUUUCUAUUCAGUUGUGUGGCUUCUUAUGUAUUUUGAUUUUCACCCCUUAUGAGAUAUAUUGUUAGCAAAUAUUUUCUCUGAGGUCAUAAGCUGCUUUUAAAUUUCAUUGAUUGACUUCUCCUGUGCAGAAGCUUUAGGGUUAGAUAUACUCCUACUUGUAUUUUUGUUUUUUGUUGCUUGUGUUUUUAAUGUCGUAUUUAAUAAAUUAUUAUCUGAACCAA